ACACCAGACCCACGUCAGGAGAGGACCUUGCAGGCCACUGUCCUCCCGUUGUCAGGCCAAGCUCCCAGGGGAAGUCCAGGCCUCCAAAGGCUCAUGGGAACCCCCGGUGCAGGGUCAAGCUCUCUGGUCGACCCAGGCCUGGCUGGCUCGGCCACCCCUGCUGCCAGGCCCAGCAGUGGAAGGCUGAUGGGGUGCUCCCUGACUGAAGCGGAUCCCACCACCUAGCAGAUGGGGAAAGAGAGGCUCAGAGUCGGGGCAACUUGCCUGAAUCACAGAGGGGACAGUAGUCAAGAUUCGAAUCCUGCUGGAGGAAGCUGGGGCUCAGAGAGCGAGUGAAGAGUGGAAGGCAGAGCCCCCACAACCUCCUGCCCGCUGCCCUGAGCCUGUCUGGGCCCC